UAAUUGCUUGCUGUAAAGACAAACCUUCUUAAUGAAUUCCUGCUCUCGUUAGGAAGUACCUCCAUACAGUCGAAGCUGCAUUUGAUGUGACGAAAAGAUGAACUGGAGACUCUUCCUUAGAAUCAUCACAACGCCAACAUUUAGAAGCAAUUGAGUAUCCUAUUCUACGCAAGAAGUCAUCAAGUGGCAAUUUUUCUUUCCACACCUUCCAUAAAAAGAAAGAUAUUUUGAAAGGUAGGCCUUUGACCCAUAUCAUCCUGUAAGCUAUCCUUGGAUUGUCUCUUCUUCUCAAGUAAUCCCAUGCAAUUUUUACAGAAAAAUGUCCCUUUGGUUCAAGCAUCCAGACCGGAAUAUCUAAUUCUGCACAUUCUUUUGGAGGGGUAAUGUUCUGCACAAUGUGAUUAGCCCACUCUUCAGGUAAAAUUUGAAAUAAUUUUUCCACANNNNNNNNNNNNNNNNNNNNNNNNNNNNNNNNNNNNNNNNNNNNNNNNNNNNNNNNNNNNNNNNNNNNNNNNNNNNNNNUUCCAUUUAUCAUUAUCAAUCAAAUCAUUUACAUUUUGAAUGUUUUCAUCAAUGGGGAAUGUUGUUGGCAUUUGGAAAUAUAAAGCUCCCAUCUCUAUCCAAUUGUCGAACCAAAACUGAGACGAUCCCAUUCUCAAUUUCAAGAAGAUUUGAUUCUCAAUCAAUUCUCUGCAUUGAAGCAUUUUCUUCCAAGCGUGUGAACCACCCUUCCAAGGUACUAUUACUGGAUUUAAUUUCUUACAAUACUUUUGACACAUAAAAUCACUCCAUAGACUGGGUUUUGUUCUAAAAUUCCACCACAAUUUGCAAAAAAGUGCCUUGGAUACAUCAUGAAGAGAUCUGAAACCUAUACCCCCUUCCUCAUAAGGCAAACAUAGGUUAGUCCAUGAUGACCAAUGUCUUGAAUUUCCUCCCACAUUACUGCUCCAGAAGAAUUUUGCAAAAAUGCUAUGCAAUUUGGUAAUGACAUAUUUAGGAGGAUUAACUGCUGAUAACAUAUGAAUUGGCAUUCUUUGCAGAACAUUUGUGAUCAAUAUAGCCCUGCCGCCUACCGAGAGGAGCUUUCCUUUCCACGACUGCAGUCUGUCCAUAACCUUUGUAAUUAACGCGUGGUAGUAAUCAUUCCUUCUUCUUGCAUAAAAUAUAGGACAUCCAAGAUAUGUCAUUGGGAAGCAUUGUUUUCCUAUACCAGUAACCCCUUCCACCUUGUAAAUCACCACAUCUUUUGUUGAAUGAUGCAGAUAUAUGGCUGAUUUGGCUUUAUUGAUCAAUUGACCCGAUGCUGCUUCAUAAGCUUGCAGAACCUCCAUCACAAGUGUCAGGGACUUUUCAUCAGAUGAGCAGAAAAUGAUUGUAUCAUCCGCAUAAGCCAGGUGGUUUAUUUUUGGACUCCAUUUAGGAAGUCUAAAUCCGCUGAAAAACCGGUUAUUAUGCAGUGAAUUCAAACCUCUAGACAAAGCUUCUGCUGCUAGAACGAAUAAGGUAGGUGACAGAGGGUCUCCCUGCUUUACUCCCCUAGAAGAUUUGAAAAAACCAUUUGGUUGUCCAUUUAUUAGAAUAGAGUACCAGUUAUUCCCAAUCAAAUCAUAUAUCAAGCCGAUAAAAUCUUCUGGAAAACCCAUCUUUCUUAGCACUUUUGUCAAGAAAAGCCAUGAUAAUCUAUCAUACGCUUUUGUCAUAUCUAGCUUUAUCACCACAUUUGGGAAAAGCCAUGAUAAUCUAUCAUACACUUUUGUCAUAUCUAGCGUUAUCACCACAUUUGGUCCUGCUUUGGUUCUCACCCUGAUAUCCUUAAUGAUUUCUUUUGUUAACAGGACAUUCUCUACAAUAUUUCUUCCCUUUACGAAACCUGCUUGCUCCUCCGAGAUGAUGUUUGGUAAUAAAUCCUUCAGCCUUUCAUGAAUGACCCUUGAGAAAAUCUUGUUAACAAAGUUACUAAGACUGAUAGGUCUCAAGUCUGCUUUCACUUCUUUUUUCUUUGGCAAUAAAACCAGUUUGUAUGCGUGACACUCUUUGGGAGCUGGUGACCGCAGAAGAAAUACUUGACCAUGCUGACCACUUCUUCUUCAAUGAUGUCCCAGCAUGAUUGAUAGAAAACUCCAGUGAAAUCGUCUGGACCGCCUGUUGAAUCUCCAUUCAGCCCCAUUACUGCUUUCUUCACUUCCUCAUUAGAAGGUAAGUCCAUUAAUCUCUCAUGUUGACCAUGAUCUAUCAUUGGAGGAACAUGCUUCAAAAUAUCAAAAUCAAUGGGAAAAGACCUCUCAGAAAAUAACUCCUUGUAAAAUUUAACAGCUUCCUCUGCUAUUUUGUGAUCUUCUUCAAUCCAAUUACCAUCACUAUCCUGGAUUCUUGAUAACUUUAUCUUUUCCUUCUCCCGUUAACCUGGGCAUGAAAAAUUUUUGUGUUUCUAUUACCAUCUUUAAACCACAACAUGCCUGCUUUUUGUUUCCAGAAUAAUUCUUCUAAUGCAAGAUAUUUAAGCAAUUCAGCUUGAACCUGUUGUAAUCUUUGUCUAUUUCUCUGAAUAGAUAUUUAAGCAAUUCAGCUUGAACUUGCCGUAAUCUUUGUCUAUUUGUCUGAGUAAGAUUUAUUUCAAAAAGAUUUUCAUGAAUUAAUACCACCUCCUCUAGACUUGCAAUCUUCUUGAAAAUAUCCCCAUGUGUAGCUCUGCUCCAAGUAGACAGUGCAUGUUUAAGUUUUUUUAACUUGAAGUUAGAAUUGCUGAAAGGAUUUGCACUAGAUUCACCAUUCCAGGUCUCUUUCACUACAUCUUUAAAAGAUUCAUGCUUUAUCCAAAAAUAAAGAAAUCUGAAAGACUUCUUAACAGGGGAAUUAUUUAUAUUACACUUGAGCAGCAUUGGGCAAUGGUCAGAGCCUAUUUUGGACAAAUGAGUUACCUCCAAUCCAGGAACGGUCUGUUGCAGCUCAUCAUUUCCUAGACAUCUGUCUAGUCUUUUGAAAAUACAGUCUUCUUCUGAUCUACCAUUCCACCAUGUGAAAAUGCUUCCUUUGAACCCCAAAUCAUUUAAUGUACAAGAGUUUAUGCAAUGUCUGAAAUCAUCUACUUCGAGGAACGAGACUGGCAAACCACCAAACUUCUCUUCCUCAUCCCAAAUCACAUUAAUGUCUCCUCCGACCAGCCAUGGUAUAGUAAUGUGUGAUGCCAUUGAAUAUAGAGAAUCCCAUAAUUCAAUUCUUUCCAUGUGAUCGCAUUUAGCAUAUACUAGCGUAAGGAUGAGCUCUGCAUGUGUUUCAGUGUGCACCAAUUUUAAAGUCAACUGUUGAGUCAAAUUAUACAAAAUAUUAACUUCAAAUAUUUCAUCAAUAAAAGCCCAAAUCUUGUUUGACACAUGCACCACAGCUUGAGCCAAACCAAUUCUUGCUCUAUAUCUGUCCAUUUUGUUAGACUGUUGCAUAGGUUCAAUUAUUCCAAUGAAUUGAAAUUGAUGUUUCCGAUGCUUUGUAACCAGCCUUUGAAAUGCUUGCUUUGUAUUUACUGAUCUCACAUUCCAGAUAAUGGCAUGUUUCCGAUGCAUUGUAACCAGCCUUUGAAAUGCUUGCUUUGUAUUUACUGAUCUCACAUUCCAAAUAAUUGCAUCCAUUAGAGUUUUUUGGGUUUGGACAUACUGCUCCUUGUUUUUACUCCCUUGGACUGUGCAUUUGAAGUCUGAUUUGACUGUUUCUUUUUUUCUUUUGCUGGAACUUUCACAGGUUCAAUAAUCUUUGGAGGCAUAUCCCCUUGCUUGGGAACAUUAAGGAAAAUUGAGCAGUGGAUUUUUCCUCCAAAUCUACAUCUCUUAUUUCUGCAUGUGUCACAGUAUUAUGUGUUUCCACUGCCGCUUCCAUAAUUAUGUUUUGAUUUGCGUCCCUUAUUGCAUGGGCUAGCACUGCUCCUGGAUCUAUUGUAGAUACUUUU
rnacentral:lncRNA from 1 species